UACGUAGGGUGCAAGCGUUGUCCGGAAUUAUUGGGCGUAAAGAGCUCGUAGGCGGUCUGUCGCGUCGGAUGUGAAAACCCAGGGCUCAACCCUGGGCCUGCAUUCGAUACGGGCAGACUAGAGUUCGGUAGGGGAGACUGGAAUUCCUGGUGUAGCGGUGAAAUGCGCAGAUAUCAGGAGGAACACCGGUGGCGAAGGCGGGUCUCUGGGCCGAAACCGACGCUGAGGAGCGAAAGCGUGGGGAGCAAACAGG
rnacentral:rRNA from 1 species